rnacentral:lncRNA from 1 species
CACCUACGUGUUAAGUGCUGCUAAGAGACUAUCUUCUUGAACUUUGAUUGCAAAGACUUUACACAUAGAAAAACACUAAUGCCUUUGCAACCAAGUAGUAUUACAUCCAAUGAGAAAUACAAUGUAAAUUGUCUCUGUACGUUGUUGGAGAUCUGCUUUUAUAAAUUACUACAAGCCUAUGUCACUAUAGUAAAGACCUCUGCACUUCCACCAGUUCUUCAUGUGAUAUUCAGUGUUGUGUGCCUUUUACCUCCUUUUUGACGCCUCCGAGAUUUGUGCUGUGAUAUCAACCAGUGCUGAAAACAGCUGACAAAGAAUCAAAGAAAGAAUCAAAAGUUAUUCCAAGACUAAGUUACACUGUUAAGCCUGAAAAGGCCUUGGCUAUUCACCCAACACACUAAGAAGAUGGAGAAGAAAGUAUUCUCUUUUUGAAAAAGAAAAAUACAGAAGAAGACUAAUUAAAAGGUAAAUUCUUUUGAGUUUAUCUGUUCAAAUAUCCUAGCAGAAUGUUUUUGGUGGGUUUAUUUAGUCAUUUUUCUUCCUCUCAUCUUCUUACCCUCAAGACUUAUGUCAAUUUGAAGUGGAGGUGUGCUUUUUUUUUCUUAAAACAACAACAGCAACAACAAUAACAAAAGACUUAAAUUACUGACUUGAAUUGUGCAACUACUCUGACGGUACACCAGAGAACUAAUGUAACACUUGUGCAUAUGAGUACUUUUCAGGAAUCAUAAAUCAUAAUAAAACUCUCUGGAAGGUUAGGGUGGAGAAAAAA